UGAAAGUAGUGAAAACUGAUAAUGGUGCAGCAUAUGUUUCACAAUCAAUGAAAACUUUUUUUCAUUGUUGGGGUAUAUGUGUCACUUAACUGGUUUACCUCAUUCCUCAACAGGUCAAGCUGUUGUGGAACAAAGGCAUGCCCUUUUAAAGAAUAUGCUUAUUAAACAAAAGAGGGGGGAUGCCCUUGGUACAAUGCCUCAGGAACAACUGGACAAAGUAACAGUUGCUUUCAAUUUCUUAAAUAUUUCCAGAUUUGAUAAGAAAACAGCAAAUGAAAGCAGGUUUUCCCAUGGUGCUUUAAUGGAUUCUCAGCCACCUGUCUAUUACAAAGACUUGCAGAGUGGACAAUGGCUAGGCCCUGUGCUUUUGCUAACAUGGGGGUGCGGUUAUAGCUGUGUUUCUCUAUCCACAGGAGCUCACUGGCUACCUGUGAAGAACAUAAAACCCACCACAGAAGGAAUGGGGACUGGAAGGCAUCACAGUUUUGGCUUGGUAACCAGCUACUAUGGCUUUAGACAAAACCAAACAGUAGUCAAUACAGGUAGCUGCAGGAAGCAGGGUGAUCUUUUAUCUCCACAGAAGAAAAUUGAAAGCUCCAGCUGAGUAAAAUGAUGAGGAAAUGGAAACAGAAUUGCUGGGUGAGACAAAUCCAG
rnacentral:lncRNA from 1 species